CGACGGGAGCUUGCUCCCUUAGGUCAGCGGCGGACGGGUGAGUAACACGUGGGUAACCUGCCUGUAAGACUGGGAUAACUCCGGGAAACCGGGGCUAAUACCGGAUGCUUGAUUGAACCGCAUGGUUCAAUCAUAAAAGGUGGCUUUCAGCUACCACUUACAGAUGGACCCGCGGCGCAUUAGCUAGUUGGUGAGGUAACGGCUCACCAAGGCGACGAUGCGUAGCCGACCUGAGAGGGUGAUCGGCCACACUGGGACUGAGACACGGCCCAGACUCCUACGGGAGGCAGCAGUAGGGAAUCUUCCGCAAUGGACGAAAGUCUGACGGAGCAACGCCGCGUGAGUGAUGAAGGUUUUCGGAUCGUAAAACUCUGUUGUUAGGGAAGAACAAGUACCGUUCGAAUAGGGCGGCACCUUGACGGUACCUAACCAGAAAGCCACGGCUAACUACGUGCCAGCAGCCGCGGUAAUACGUAGGUGGCAAGCGUUGUCCGGAAUUAUUGGGCGUAAAGCGCGCGCAGGCGGUUUCUUAAGUCUGAUGUGAAAGCCCCCGGCUCAACCGGGGAGGGUCAUUGGAAACUGGGGAACUUGAGUGCAGAAGAGGAGAGUGGAAUUCCACGUGUAGCGGUGAAAUGCGUAGAGAUGUGGAGGACACCAGUGGCGAAGGCGACUCUCUGGUCUGUAACUGACGCUGAG
rnacentral:rRNA from 1 species